UUCGGUGAUCAUAGCUGUGGGGUCACACCUCUUCCCAUUCCGAACAGAGUAGUUAAGCCCACAUACGCCAAUGGUACUGCACUAGAGAUGGUGUGGGAGAGUAGGUAGUUGCCGGAA
rnacentral:rRNA from 1 species